GGUUCGAUGCCACGUCGCCGGUAGCUGAAAUAGCCUUGACCGACGAUGCUACAUUGAACCAACAGCGAUCCCUUUCGCAUUCUGAUAGGAACCUGUGGAUCCUAAUACACUCUGGUCCACGGAGCCGAUUUACUGCGAUUACAUUU
rfam:Prunus persica cultivar Lovell chromosome G3, whole genome shotgun sequence.